GUUUGUUUUAGGGUACGCCCUCCAUGUCUAGGCCUCGUCCUCAGCGAAAAAAAUCCUCGACAAUGCCUAAACGUGGGAAGAAGCGGCCAUGGGCGUUGUAGAAUUGUUGAAUGCACUUGAUACACCCAAGGAUUGAGAGAGGGCAGAGGUAAUAGCCAUAGUUGCUCCAUCAAUGGUGCACACUCCUCAGUCUACUGGAGAAGCAUCUGAGGCUCUGGCCCCUUUGCAAUUCGGCCAUAACUUGGAUCCUUUGUAGUUUGUGCUCAAGAAAACUCCUAAGACUAACAAGGAGAAGAGAAAGAAGACAGUAGAUCCUAGAUCAGCAGAUGAUGUAAUCUACAUUUCAAUUACAAAGAAAUUAUGGUUAACUACAUAGUUAUGUUGAUAAUUGUGAACUAUUUUCUACAAAAGGAUUCUAUCUUGGCUUUUGAAUUGUGGUUGUGCAUCCAUCUACAGAGUCGCGUACUGCAUCAAAGAGGCUCAAUUUUGAUGAUCCACCACAAGUAUAGGAUCAUAUAGUGUUAGUUGUGGUCAUUGAAUGACCAAUACAUGUAGAUAUAUUCUACAUUUUUAUUGUAUAUCGAUUUGGACAUGGCAUAUGCCGC